GGAGAGAUGGCUGAGGGGUUUAAGGCCCCGGUCUUGAAAACCGGUAUAGUAAAGAACUAUCAAGGGUUCGAAUCCCUUUCUCUCCU
rnacentral:tRNA from 1 species